CUCAGUUUAAAAUAUUUAUUGAUGGCAGUGGAAUUAUGGUCUGUCAGUAACGUUAUCUAACUUUCAUCCUGCCUUCGAGUAACAUGUCAUAUUAUUGAUUGUUUAAUCUUUGAAUGUAGCAUUCUUUGUCAAGUGAACGCAAGAUCUCUGUAUAAGACAUGACACCUUGUUGACAUCACCAUUUCCAUGCUUUGGGAAAGGAUCGCUUCCCCUGGCCAGGCCCCCAACUGUGAACAGGCUGAGGAUGUUCAGACAAAAUACUCCCAUUAGAGGACCAAAGCGAAGGGGGCAAACAAGACUUGCAACUUUCAGAGUUGGUCUCUUCCUCCAUCCUGCUAUGGAAACAUUCCACCCACAUAAAGACUGCUGUAUGGAAUGUCCAGUGCAUAGAGAGAACUUCGCAGUGGGAGAGCCAGACAGACAUCUACCCUGUAACCACUUUCAUUCAGAAUGUAUUGUACCAUGGCUGGAAAUGCAUGUCCAGUGUGCAGGAAGAGUUUAAACGGAGAAGACGGCAGCAGCCAGACCCCAUCAGAAUAUCUGCCCUCUCCAUGGAUGCCGCAAACAGGAGAGAUUGUCCUUCUGAGACACCAGUCAUCCCUCGGUUCUUCACGCCUACAUCAAACACGCCGAGAAGACAAAGCGCUUGUCACGUUCUCUUUGCUAUCUGUUGCAGUCAUAAUCAUCUCAGUCUGAUAUUCCUUUGUAUUUCUUUGUAUUUGUUUAAUUUAUUUAAUGCCUUUCUGCACCAUGUAAACUGUUACCAAUACAGGCGUCCUAACAGUCGGUUGAGUUCAAGCCCAUGUCUUCACCUCUCAAGCAACUCCAUCUUUCUUGACAUGCACUGCGGCAAUAUGCUAUUAUGGGGAAAUGCCAGACUUUAUAUCAUACCAUGUCCUCUUUACACAUCAGAAAAUUUGCUAAUCCUGCAACUGAGCACUACAUUUACAUUUAUGCAUUUGGCAGACGCUUUUAUCCAAAGCGACUUACAGUGCACUUAUUACAGGGAC